rnacentral:rRNA from 1 species
GACGAACGCUGGCGGCGUGCCUAACACAUGCAAGUCGAGCGGAGUCGAUCGACGGAAGCCUUCGGGCGGAAGAUGGUUGACUUAGCGGCGGAUGGGUGAGUAACGCGUGGGCAACCUGCCUCGAAGACCGGGAUAACAGCCCGAAAGGGCUGCUAAUACCGGAUGUGGUCAAGGAUCCGCAUGGAUUUUUGAUUAAAGGGGAAACCCGUUUCGAGAUGGGCCCGCGUCCUAUCAGCUAGUUGGUGAGGUAAAAGCUCACCAAGGCGACGACGGGUAGCCGGCCUGAGAGGGUGACCGGCCACACUGGAACUGAGACACGGUCCAGACUCCUACGGGGGCAGCAGUGGGGAAUCUUCCACAAUGGGCGAAAGCCUGAUGGAGCAACGCCGCGUGGGUGAAGAAGGCCUCGGGUUGUAAGCCUGUCUUAUGGGAAGAAGUCAGUGACGGUACCGAUAGGAGGAAGCCACGGCUAACUACGUGCCAGCAGCCGCGGUAAGUGAGUAGUACGA